UACGGAGGGGGCUAGCGUUGUUCGGAAUUACUGGGCGUAAAGCGCGCGUAGGCGGCUUUGUAAGUUAGAGGUGAAAGCCCGGAGCUCAACUCCGGAAUUGCCUUUAAGACUGCAUCGCUAGAAUCAUGGAGAGGUUAGUGGAAUUCCGAGUGUAGAGGUGAAAUUCGUAGAUAUUCGGCGGAACACCAGUGGCGAAGGCGACUCACUGGCCCGAUACUGACGCUGAGGCGCGAAAGCGUGGGGAGCAAACAGG
rnacentral:rRNA from 1 species